rnacentral:rRNA from 1 species
UACGAAGGGGGCUAGCGUUGUUCGGAAUUACUGGGCGUAAAGCGUAUGCAGGCGGAUCUUUAAGUCGGGGGUGAAAUCCUGAGGCUCAACCUCAGAACUGCCUUCGAUACUGGAGAUCUUGAGUCCGGGAGAGGUGAGUGGAACUGCGAGUGUAGAGGUGAAAUUCGUAGAUAUUCGCAAGAACACCAGUGGCGAAGGCGGCUCACUGGCCCGGUACUGACGCUGAGAUACGAAAGCGUGGGGAGCAAACAGG